UUUUAUUAGGCUGGCCAAGCCUUUAUAAGCAAAGGGGCGUAAAGGGUGUGUAGGCCGACUGCCCCACCCCCCCCCAAGGUGGUAAAUGGAAUUUUUCUGUAGCGGUAGAAUGUGCGGAUAGAAAAUAGAACCCCAAAAGCUGAAGCAAUUUACCGCGGGGUGGGAGGGGGGGCCCCCUGGGGCGCCCCCCCCGGGCUACGGGCUGAAACACGAGGGUGUGGGGAACAAACAGGAUUAGAGACCCUGGUCGUCCACACUGUAAACGAUGGAGAAAAUGCGAAUGCCGUCCCGAAAGGCAGCAAUCCUCCCGCCUGAGUAGUUCGAUUGCAAGAUUAAAACUCCAAAAAUUUGGCUGUUCACCGUUUCUAUUAGAGGAUCGUGUAGUUUAAUUCGAUAAACCGCGAGAUACCUUACCCAAACUUGAGUCCUUGAGGAUUCUCAGGAAUCCUUAUGGACCGGUAUUGCGUGGCCGUCGUCCUGUUCGUGUCCUGAAACUUUAAAGGGACCCCCCCCGAGGAUUAGCCGGGGAUGAAGUCGGGUCUUAUGGUCCCCAUGUUUGGGGAUAAUAUGCGCUUACGUUGUUCUUAUUUUCAAUGGGAAACCUGGGAGGUGAAACCCAAAAGUGAGAUUUCGGCCUAGGCUAUUGGAAGAUGGCCGAAAGUUGAAUUUAAUAUUAAUCGGAAAGUAUAUCGUUCGCGGCGUGAAAUGGUCUAGGUG
rnacentral:rRNA from 1 species